AAUAGAUACCCAGGUAGUCCACGCCGUAAACGAUGAAUGCUAAGUGUUAGGGGGUUUCCGCCCCUUAGUGCUGCAGCUAACGCAUUAAGCACUCCGCCUGGGGAGUACGGCCGCAAGGCUGAAACUCAAAGGAAUUGACGGGGGCCCGCACAAGCGGUGGAGCAUGUGGUUUAAUUCGAAGCAACGCGAAGAACCUUACCAGGUCUUGACAUCCCCUGACAACUCUGGAGACAGAGCGUUCCCCUUCGGGGGACAGAGUGACAGGUGGUGCAUGGUUGUCGUCAGCUCGUGUCGUGAGAUGUUGGGUUAAGUCCCGCAACGAGCGCAACCCUUGAUCUUAGUUGCCAGCAUUCAGUUGGGCACUCUAAGGUGACUGCCGGUGACAAACCGGAGGAAGGUGGGGAUGACGUCAAAUCAUCAUGCCCCUUAUGACCUGGGCUACACACGUGCUACAAUGGAUGGUACAAAGGGCUGCCAAACCGCGAGGUUGAGCGAAUCCCAUAAAACCAUUCUCAGUUCGGAUUGCAGG
rnacentral:rRNA from 1 species